UACGUAGGGGGCAAGCGUUGUCCGGAUUUAUUGGGCGUAAAGAGCGUGUCGGCGGCCUGAAAGGUCAGCUGUGAAAACUCGAGGCUCAACCUCGAGACGUCGGUUGAAACCAUCUGGCUAGAGUCCGGAAGAGGAGUGUGGAAUUCCCGGUGUAGCGGUGAAAUGCGCAGAUAUCGGGAAGAACACCCGUGGCGAAGGCGGCACUCUGGGACGGUACUGAACGCUGAGACGCGAAAGCG
rnacentral:rRNA from 1 species